AGGAAUGUAUAGCAAUAGCUAGUUGCAUCAUAGUAAAUAUGAUGCAAGAUUGACUAUGUUGAAUAAAAUUCUAGGUAUGAUUAUGAUAAUGACAUUGUCUGCCUAUAUGUCUUGACCAAAUUACGUGCCAGCAGUCGCGGUAAUACGUAGAAGACUAGUGUUAUUCAUGUUUAAUCGGUUUAAAGGGUACCUAGACGGCAGAUCAAGCUUUCCGAGCAGAAAAAAGUAAAAAGGACUAAUUUGCUAGAGUUACUUACGGUGGGGUUUUAAAGUACUGCUGGUGUAGAGAUGAAAUCCUAUUAUACCUAAGUUCGAGAGAAUAAUAAUGGCACAGGUAUAGGCGAAGGCAUCCCCUUAUGUGAUAACUGACGUUGAGGGACGAAGGCUUUUAACAGCGAACGGGAUUAGAUACCCCAUUAGUGGAAGCAGUAAAUGAUGAAUGUCAUAGAUUAGUAGAUAGGUUCAUUCUAUAAAUGAAAGUGUAAGCAUUCCACCUCAUGAGUAAUAUGGCAACAUUGGAAUUGAAAUCAUUAGACCGUUUCUGAAACCAGUAGUGAAGUAUGUUGUUUAAUUUGAUGAUCCGCAAAAAACCUUACCACAAUUUGAAUAUAUAUAUUUUUUUUUUUCGCUAUUAAUUUUCUUCUAAAGAGAAAAUAUAUUAAUAAAGAGGCAAUAAGAUAUAUUUACAAGCGCUGCACGGUUGUCUUCAGUUAAUGUCGCGAGAUUUUGGUUAGAUCCAUUAAAUUAACGUAAACCCUUACUUUAUUUUU
rnacentral:rRNA from 1 species